rnacentral:lncRNA from 1 species
GUAGUUAAUGGUGGGAUUACCAUUAUCCUUUUUGGAGUGACGAAUCUUGCCUAAGAAAAGGAAUUUGUCCAUUUUUCGGGGGCGUGGAAACACAUAAGAACUCUUGAAUAGGAAAGAUGGGAAAAGGGACGAUGAGAUUGCUUACUCAGCUAUCAGGGAGUCAAAUGGACGAAGCGGGAGUGACUCUCUUUCUCUUUCUUCCCUUACUAUCCGAAUUAGCUCUUC